CUUGACUUCAAACAGUGAUUCUUCCUGGGCCAGAAAACAGUAGAAUGUUGGGAUAUGGAGCUUUAUCUUCAGCACCUCACUCAGCAAGAAGUCAUCCCCUCCUGGCUGGGGUGAGAGAAGGGAAACUGAGGCAAAUGAAAGCAGAAAGC